UGGAUGAAACAUUCCGCUUGGCAAAGAGUAACUCAUUUUAAUGCCUCUCGCUACCCCUGGCCCUAGUUUUGAAGGAAUCAUGCGACACACUCGCACUCCACUACCCCAUCCCAUGGAAAAACGCUCCCACCAUCGAGGUGUUGACCAAAAUUUCGCUUUGUGCAUGAGACACACACUAGCACUCCUCCAGCCCUCCACAGCUGAACGCUCCCACCGUUGCGAAUUUGCGAGAAUUUUUGCUAUGAGCGUGAGACCCUGAAGCGCCAGAGAUGACACUAUGUGUAAAGACGAUCAUAAUUCGAUAUGGUCAAAAUGCGUCGUUUGUCGUUUCAUUUAUCUGGUAAUGAUGUUUUCACUUCAUCAAAAUUUUAAACAUUAACAACUAGGCUGAUAACAAUAGUUGAAAUGUAAAUCAGAAUAAAAUCAAUUCAUUUGAAGUAAAAUAAAUUCCAUUAUACUUUAUUUUGACCAUAUGAUCAACACUUGUACAUAGUGCCAUUUACUUUGUGUUCUUCACUCUCGCGUUGUGUUUUGAUCGUUCGAAACUCAUUGUCAGAACGAAUGCAAAUUUCAUUUGGGAAGGAUCGGUGCCGGAAGAUGCAGUGAAAAUUAUAAAAUGUUUAUAUAAAAGUGGUUAAGUAAAUCGUGAAAGAUGUAAACGCAGGCGUAACUGCAGUUUGUUCUGUUACAUGAUCUACGGCUAUUUCAUUGCCAAAGCACCUGAUAACCGUUCAAAGAAGGUGAAUUGGGCUUACAGAGUCGCCAUUUAACUUCAAUAUAUUCGUGAUCGGAAAACGCAUCAAACAACAAGUGUUUUUCUUCCAACAGCACGCGCCAUCGGUGGAGCAAGCAGCCAACGAUUUGAUCGCCAAUACGCGCCAUCAAGUAUUAUAAUAUUCCCGAAUAGCUCUGAGAAUAAAAAACUGCACACUUACUGUCCGAAUUUCCUGGAAUUUUUUGAUCGGUCUACGCUCGCGGGAAUGGUGGGUCCGUUGAGGAGAAGGAAAGAAAGGGUGGGAGCGAGGAUUAACCAAAAACGCGGCAUUGAGAAUGAGGGGAGGUGCGCUCAGCGCUCACGCUGGGACACUCACGAUGCUUGAAAUAAAAUGUUAACAAGCAUCGAUUUCAAGCAUGCAUGUCGCGCGACAUUUUGCCAAGCGGGAUGGCCGUAACAAC